rnacentral:rRNA from 1 species
AACAGGAUUAGAUACCCUGGUAGUCCACGCCGUAAACGAUGUCGACUAGCCGUUGGGCUCCUUGAGAGCUUUGUGGCGCAGUUAACGCGAUAAGUCGACCGCCUGGGGAGUACGGCCGCAAGGUUAAAACUCAAAUGAAUUGACGAGGGCCCGCACAAGCGGUGGAGCAUGUGGUUUAAUUCGAUGCAACGCGAAGAACCUUACCUACCCUUGACAUCGUGCGAACUUUCCAGAGAUGGAUUGGUGCCUUCGGGAACGCACAGACAGGUGCUGCAUGGCUGUCGUCAGCUCGUGUUGUGAAAUGUUGGGUUAAGUCCCGUAACGAGCGCAACCCUUGUCCUUAUUUGCCAGCGAGUCAUGUCGGGAACUCUAAGGAGACUGCCGGUGUCAAACCGGAGGAAGGUGGGGACGACGUCGAGUCAUCAUGGCCCUUACGGGUAGGGCUACACACGUGCUACAAUGGCCGGUACAAAGGGUUGCGAAGCCGCGAGGUGGAGCUAAUCCCGAAAAGCUGGUCUCAGUCCGGAUCGGAGUCUGCAACUCGACUCCGUGAAGUCGGAAUCGCUAGUAAUCGUGAAUCAGAAUGUCACGGUGAAUACGUUCCCGGGCCUUGUACACACCGCCCGUCACACCAUGGGAGUGGACUGCACCAGAAGUGGUUAGCCUAACUUCGGAGGGCGAUCACCACGGUGUGGUUCAUGACUGGGGUGAAGUCGUAACAAGGUAACC